UGUUUCGUGGUUCUUUGUUUAGGUUCCUUACCGAGCUGUAACUGGGUCAUUCUACAGAAACGUCCACUUUUGAUCUUUAAAAAAUAGGAAGGAGGAAGUCGUCAUCAGGUUUUUAUUUUUCUCAAAUGGCUAGGGACAGAAAAAUGGACGUUUCUGUAGAAUGACCCAACUGCUGACUGAUCUGGAAAAAACCUUAAGCACCUGAUGGCUUUAGACCGUUUCUACAGUUGUCAGAUUUUAAGUAAAAUAUCACUGCAAAUGCAUAAAGUCAGAGACGAGCGCUCAUGCGUCACAUGAAAGUCUUUGCUGCCCUCUGGUGCACAACGUGAGGUCCUGACCGUAGGAUGAGCUGGGGGCAUCAACCGUCAGACCCCCCUGUGGCUCUGGUGGCAGCACACCUCUCUCCUGGAGCCUCAUGACAUACCUGCCGACAUGCAUUGGUGGGAGAAGUGAAGCCUUUGCACAUCGGCUGUUGGGUUGCUAAGAGGGACACCUGAAGCCCCGAGGAAGAACCGGUCCUUGUCGUCUCUAUCUGGAGCUUGGGCCUUUAAAUAUUCUGGCCGGAUAUGAACAAACUCCUUUGGACAGCGUUACAGUGACUCCGUCUGCCUCUGGCACUCUGUCGUUCCACUCCUAGAAAAAGAGGCCUGAUGACUCCAGUCCUCCCAGACGUCCCUGGAAACCCCCACGUCCAUCAUAUAGUUGAAGAAGGCCUGCUGCCUUUCAGUCAGCCUCUCUCUGGCAUCGGAUCUCUCUGGCCAGAAUGGCUCCAGGAUCUCGUCCAGGGGUAUUGCUGGAAUGUCCCUUUUAAUUUCUGCAGGAGUCCAGUCCUCCUCCCAGACGCCCCUGGAAACCCCUUCGUUGAGGACCGUCGUCGCGUUCGUCUCCAGGUUUCUCCGAUCUGACAGAAAUAUCAGGAGCACGUCCAUCAUAUAGUUGAAGAAGGCCUGCUGCCUUUCAGUCAGCCUCUCCCGUGCAUCUGAUCUCUCUGGCCAGAAUGGCUCCAGGAUCUCGUCCAGCUCUUCGGACCGUCUCUGCUUCCGUUCAGGAGCACACUCGGCCGAGGAAGCUGGUCUCUUCUGGCCUCCUGAGUGUGCAGGAGCACCGCUGCCCUUUCCUUCCAGCUGCUUUCUCAGCUCCUCUAUCUCUUGGCCUUGCUCUGCUACGCGUGAUUUUAAGGCGCUGAGCUCGGUCUUAAGUGCAGCCAUGUCACUGAUCAUCUGGUGAUCUAGUGAUUCACGGAGGCUUUUGUUACUUUCUUUUAAUUUCUGAAAUUCCUCACUUGCAAACUUUUCCAGGGAAUUCAGCCGACCAAUCAUCGACUCCUCGAAAGGCAAGUCCAGGUCAUCUUCCGAGCUGCUAAUCUGUAAUUUUUCUUAUGAUAGGAAAGCACAGAAAAUUAUAACUGCAAUGAUGCGGCGGAAUCAACAAGUCCACUUUGAGUGACAGCCGGGCUCCCGCUCCUCUGACGAGCGCUCCUGGAGACACGCCCCCAGCGGAAGACGACAGGUAGUUCACCACGGGACCGUAAUGUCUGACAGCCUAAUAUGAAGCACACUGUCACAUUUCAGUCCACACUGGAAGUACGCGUCAAGGGGGCAAAAAAGUCAGCAACAAGUUAUCAGUAACUUCAUGAGACUUUAUUUAGGCUCUCUGUCCUGGAGCAGAUGCUGGAGACGGCAGUGCCGGAGGAGCGGCACACUAACACCUCUGCUGCCCUCUAGUGGACAAGGAAAAGCGCAAGAUGGACUAUUUACAUUUGAUGGAAUUGAGAAACUGAAGUGCCUCAAUAAAGAUGAAUUAUGUUUCUGAAA